rnacentral:snRNA from 1 species
AAGGACUUUGAAAAGAGAGUC